AGCUCCAAUAGCGUAUAUUAAAGUUGUUGCAGUUAAAAAGCUCGUAGUCGAAGUUCUGGCUGGCUGCGUUUCCGGCUUCGGUCGACUCGCGGCCUAGUCAUCCGUCGGAGAACCCUUGUCGUCCUUCACUGGUCGCUUGGGGGAACCGGCACUUUACUUUGAAAAAAUUAGAGUGUUUCAGGCAGGCUAUCGCCCGAAUACUCCAGCAUGGAAUAAUGGAAUAGGACUUUGUUCUAUUUUGUUGGUUAUUAGAGCAAAGUAAUGAUUAAUAGGGACAGUUGGGGGCAUUCGUACUUAAUUGUCAGAGGUGAAAUUCUUGGAUUUAUUAAAGACGAACUAAUGCGAAAGCAUUUGCCAAGGAUGUUUUCA
rnacentral:rRNA from 1 species